rnacentral:lncRNA from 1 species
GUAUGGCUAAGGAAAUGCCGUCUAUGAUGCUUGUUUAAACAGGACGUAAUACCAUGUGGCCAUGUUUUUGUAUUUCUAGACACUGCUUUUCCAGACAUUCACAUAGAAGGUAUUCGCAUUUCAGGAAGGAAAUGAAUCCAGAUAGCAUGAACUCCCCCCUCCAUAUACCCAGUGUUCACCUGUGUCUUGAACGCCUCCUCAUGUCACAGAGAGCUGGAACAUUCAGCCCAGAUAUCCUUUGCAAUCCUGUAGCGAUGUGCCAUUCGUUGGCAUGUUCGGGCCUCGGAGGUUUCAUGGAUGAUCAACCUGCAUGCCGACACAUUAAACCUGAUCUUGCUGCAUCCUUCAUGCCUUGCGGCAGCCUUAACAAGGCCUCCAGUCAGCAGACCCUGGAGCUCCUGCAAGACCUACUGCCCGAGAGACCGGAGAAAGGGGGCCGCUGCACUGGUGAGCCAAAGUGCCCUGGUGCCAAUGCCAACAGUGCUGGAAGCCCAGGAGGAGAUGUCACUAAGCAGUCCAUGGCUGAGGCCAAUUUACAGGGGGACUGCACCAGCAGCCAGACUCCGCCAACCCUCAGACUUCGUGAUGGAGACUACCUGGCUGCCUGUUUGCUGGCUCCUCAGGGCCUGUGCAGCGUUGGAGAAUCAGAGGAAGACGAGAUGCGCCUAUCUAGAGCAGGGCUGUUUUCAGCAGGGAAACACAAAGUUUCUCUCAAAAAGCCACAGCAGAGAGACGUGGAUACGCAGCAGGUCCUAAAACUGCUGAUGAAACAACAGGAGGUGGUGGAGGCCAGAGGCCUGGUGAAGCUGAGGGAAGCAGAGAAGCUGCAGCUUCAGCAGAGGCUGAGGAUCGAGCAGAAGAAGAGCGCCCAUCUCACCGCCGGUUUCGAGCGGAUCUGCGAGGCACUCCAGACCAAGCUGUCAGUGACCGGCAGCGAGAACCCCACGGGUCAGCUACGGGACCUGCUUGACAAGUAUGACCGGCUGAGGAAGCGAGCGACCUCCACGAAGAGCAAGCUCCUGCAGGAGGUCAAAGGCAGGGAGCAGAUUCAGAGGAGGCUCGAGGAGACGCAGAGAGAGAAAGAGGAGCUGGGGACCAAGCAGAGGCUCCUACACGAGCAGAAAGAGGCUGCGCUGAAAGAGCUCUCAAUCUCCAACGGGAAGCUUCAGGCGGUGGAGAAGCAGCGAGAUGAGGUUGCAAGGGAGAAGGAGGCUCUUGAGGAAGAGGCCUUGGCAUUGAGAAGUGAGGUUGGGCGUCUGACCCAGCAGCUCGGUAAAACUCAGAGGGAGAGCAAGAGGCUGGUUAGGUCAGCCCGCUCCAGGGACCUAGAGCGAGAGGCAAGCCUGAAGGCACUACAGGAACUGCAGGAGGCGGCGAAGAGGCUGUACACCAAACUGGAGGAGUGCAGCACCGAGAAGCAGGCAGUGCGGGACGAGAUGGAGGCCUUGAAGCAAGAGGCAAAGUUACUUCACAACCGCCAGCAUGUGGAGCUGCUGCAGCUGCAGGAAGAGCACAAGCACUGCGGUGAGAGCAAGGAGAGCCUGCGGCAUGAGUCCGAUGCUCUGGCUAAGCUCGUGACCGACCUGAAACAGGAUAAACUGAUGCUGAAGGAGGAGGUGGAGGUCAUGCAACGGGAGAGGUUGAAGACAGAAACGAGCCGUGCCGAGGAGGGGGAAAGGUUGAGGGAGGCCGUCUACGCUCUGGAGAAGGAGAGGCAGGUGCUGCUGGCUGAGAUGGAGGUCCUCAGGCAGGAUUACGUUGCCCUGAGCGACCGCAUCGCGCAGAGAAUGGCUCAGGUGGAGCAGGAGGAUGGACCAAUGAGCCUCGUCGAAAUGGCACCCAUGCACCAGGCCAACACUGGGCAAAGUAAACUAGAGCACACAAGCGCCACAGGCCCAGUGCUGACGGAGGACAUUAUAAUGCAGAUAAGGAAGAAACUACAGAUAGAAGAACUGCACUCAAGGAAGAACUGAGGUGCACAUUUCAGCUACUCUGUGUGGGCAAUGCCAAGAAUAUGUCCGGGGUUGCCGCAGGCCAGAAAAACUGGUAUUGGUACCAUGGUAUUUCAGGAAUGGAGAGAAAGGGGGUUAAAGG